UGGGGAAUUUUGGACAAUGGGCGCAAGCCUGAUCCAGCCAUGCCGCGUGCGGGAAGAAGGCCUUCGGGUUGUAAACCGCUUUUGUCAGGGAAGAAAUCUUCUGAGUUAAUACCUCGGGAGGAUGACGGUACCUGAAGAAUAAGCACCGGCUAACUACGUGCCAGCAGCCGCGGUAAUACGUAGGGUGCAAGCGUUAAUCGGAAUUACUGGGCGUAAAGCGUGCGCAGGCGGUUUUGUAAGACAGAGGUGAAAUCCCCGGGCUCAACCUGGGAACUGCCUUUGUGACUGCAAGGCUUGAGUGCGGCAGAGGGGGAUGGAAUUCCGCGUGUAGCAGUGAAAUGCGUAGAUAUGCGGAGGAACACCGAUGGCGAAGGCAAUCCCCUGGGCCUGCACUGACGCUCAUGCACGAAAGCGUGGGGAGCAAACAGGAUUAGAUACCCUGGUAGUCCACGCCCUAAACGAUGUCAACUGGUUGUUGGGAAGGUUCCCUUCUCAGUAACGUAGCUAACGCGUG
rnacentral:rRNA from 1 species